GACGUAGGGCGCGAGCGUUGUCCGGAUUUAUUGGGCGUAAAGAGCUCGUAGGCGGCUUGUCGCGUCGAAUGUGAAAUCUCAGGGCUCAACUCUGACAUUGCAUUCGAUACGGGCAGGCUCGAGUUCGGUAGGGGAGACUGGAAUUCCUGGUGUAGCGGUGGAAUGCGCAGAUAUCAGGAAGAACACCCGUGGCGAAGGCGGCUCUCUGGAACGCAACUGACGCUGAGACGCGAAAAGCGUGGGGAGCAAACAGG
rnacentral:rRNA from 1 species